rnacentral:misc_RNA from 1 species
AUAUCAUCCAAUCCCCACAUCUGAUGGAUGGAUGGUGGGACAUCUCAGCCAUCCACGUGGGGUGGGAGUGAUCCAUUUUGUUGGUCUUCUAGACAAGGGCCUCUCAUUUUGCUAAGUCCAUUUCCUCAGGCAUUUCCACUUCCUGAGGAAAUGGAAAGUCUUUGUAGAUAGAGAUAGCCUUUGGAGUUUGGAGCUAGUCUAAGCAGUACACACAACUAUAAUGGAUCUUUGUACCUUCGUCUAUGGAGUCAUGUGGAGGGUGGCAGUUCAAAU